rnacentral:lncRNA from 1 species
AGCCUGACCCAAACUUGUUUAGCACUCAUCAGUAAGUGCUUCUCCUUCCAACACCCUUCAGUAGGUGUUCUUAUCUUGUAUCCUUCAGUAGAUACAUAAAAGAUUUAGCAUCCCUCAGUAGAUGUGUCGCAACCGGAAUCACGACGGGACGACGAUCCAAAAAGAAAACAAUUUUGAUUUUGAAAAAGAGAUUUGGAGUCACCACCAUAGCUUAUUCUGGAAAACUACGGAAAAACCAUAAAGUGAUAAAGCACGGUCC